rnacentral:rRNA from 1 species
AAGUCGUAACAAGGUUUCCGUAGGUGAACCUGCGGAAGGAUCAUUACUGAUUUGUUGACACGAGCUGUUGCUGGUCCUCAAACAUGGGGGCAUGUGCACGCUCUGUUCACACAUCCACUCACACCUGUGCACCCUCCGUAGUUCUAUGGUCUGGGGGACACCCUGUCUUCCUCCUGUAGUUCUAUGUCUUUACACGUACACCGUAGCGAAGUCUUAUGGAAUGUGCACCGCGUUUAACGCAAUACAAUACAACUUUCAGCAACGGAUCUCUUGGCUCUCGCAUCGAUGAAGAACGCAGCGAAAUGCGAUAAGUAAUGUGAAUUGCAGAAUUCAGUGAAUCAUCGAAUCUUUGAACGCACCUUGCGCCCCUUGGCUAUUCCGAGGGGCAUGCCUGUUUGAGUAUCAUGAACACCUCAACUCUCAUGGUUUGCCAUGAUGGGCUUGGAUUUUGGAGGUUUUGCUGGCCUGUGGUCAGCUCCUCUCAAAUGGAUCAGCCUACCAGUAUUUGGUGGCGUCACAGGUGUGAUAACUAUCUACGCUUGUGGUUGUCUGCUGAGUAACCUUUGGUGACAGAGGUUCACUGGAGCUUAUAAAUGUCUUUCCUCAGUGAAGACAGCUUUUUGACCGUUCGAUCUCAAAUCAGGUAGGACUACCCGCUGAACUUAA